GACGUAGGGCGCGAGCGUUGUCCGGAUUUAUUGGGCGUAAAGGGCUCGUAGGCGGUUUGUCACGUCGGGAGUGAAAACUCAGGGCUUAACCCUGAGCCUGCUUCCGAUACGGGCAGACUAGAGGUAUGCAGGGGAGAAUGGAAUUCCUGGUGUAGCGGUGAAAUGCGCAGAUAUCAGGAGGAACACCGGUGGCGAAGGCGGUUCUCUGGGCAUUACCUGACGCUGAGGAGCGAAAGCCAGGGGAGCAAACAGG
rnacentral:rRNA from 1 species